AUUGAACGCUGGCGGCAGGCCUAACACAUGCAAGUCGAACGGUUGCACAGAGAGCUUGCUCUCGGGUGACGAGUGGCGGACGGGUGAGUAACGUCUGGGAAACUGCCCGAUGGAGGGGGAUAACUACUGGAAACGGUAGCUAAUACCGCAUAACGUCGCAAGACCAAAGUGGGGGACCUUCGGGCCUCACACCAUCGGAUGUGCCCAGAUGGGAUUAGCUAGUAGGUGGGGUAAUGGCUCACCUAGGCGACGAUCCCUAGCUGGUCUGAGAGGAUGACCAGCCACACUGGAAGUGAGACACGGUCCAGACUCCUACGGGAGGCAGCAGUGGGGAAUAUUGCACAAUGGGCGCAAGCCUGAUGCAGCCAUGCCGCGUGUAUGAAGAAGGCCUUCGGGUUGUAAAGUACUUUCAGCGGGGAGGAAGGCGGUGAAGUUAAUAACUUCACCGAUUGACGUUACCCGCAGAAGAAGCACCGGCUAACUCCGUGCCAGCAGCCGCAGUAA
rnacentral:rRNA from 1 species